GACGAACGCUGGCGGCGUGCCUAAUACAUGCAAGUUGAGCGCUGAAGGUUGGUACUUGUACCAACUGGAUGAGCAGCGAACGGGUGAGUAACGCGUGGGGAAUCUGCCUUUGAGCGGGGGACAACAUUUGGAAACGAAUGCUAAUACCGCAUAAAAACUUUAAACACAAGUUUUAAGUUUGAAAGAUGCAAUUGCAUCACUCAAAGAUGAUCCCGCGUUGUAUUAGCUAGUUGGUGAGGUAAAGGCUCACCAAGGCGAUGAUACAUAGCCGACCUGAGAGGGUGAUCGGCCACAUUGGGACUGAGACACGGCCCAAACUCCUACGGGAGGCAGCAGUAGGGAAUCUUCGGCAAUGGACGAAAGUCUGACCGAGCAACGCCGCGUGAGUGAAGAAGGUUGUCGGAUCGUAAAACUCUGUUGGAAGAGAAGAACGUUGGUGAGAGUGGAAAGCUCAUCAAGUGACGGUAACUACCCAGAAAGGGACGGCUAACUACGUG
rnacentral:rRNA from 1 species